CCUACGGGUGGCAGCAGUGAGGAAUAUUGGUCAAUGGGCGAGAGCCUGAACCAGCCAAGUCGCGUGAAGGAUGAAGGAUCUAUGGUUUGUAAACUUCUUUUAUAUGGGAAUAAAGUUAGGAACGUGUUCCUUUUUGUAUGUACCAUAUGAAUAAGCAUCGGCUAACUCCGUGCUAGCAGCAGCGGUAAUACGGAGGAUGCGAGCGGUACCCGGAUUUAUUUGGUUUAAAGGGUGCGUAGGUGGUUAAUUAAGUCAGCGGUGAAAGUUUGUGGCUCAACCAUAAAAUUGCCGUUGAAAAUGGUUGACUAGAGUAUAUUUGAGGUAGGCGGAAUGCGUGGUGUAGCGGUGAAAUGCAUAGAUAUAACGCAGAACUCCGAUGGCGAAGGCAGCUUACUAAGCUAUAACUGACACUGAAGCACGAAAGCGUGGGGAUCAAACAGGAUUAGAUACCCCGGUAGUC
rnacentral:rRNA from 1 species